GGAUGCGAAUCUCGAAAGCCUGUCUCAGUUCGGAUUGGAGGCUGAAACCCGCCUCCAUGAAGUUGGAUUCGCUAGUAAUCGCGCAUCAGCCAUGGCGCGGUGAAUACGUUCCCGGGCCUUGUACACACCGCCCGUCAAGCCAUGGGAGCCGGGGGUGCCUGAAGUUCGUGACCGCAAGGAGCGACCUAGGGCAAAACUGGUGACUGGGGCUAAGUCGUAACAAGGUAAC
rnacentral:rRNA from 1 species